AAACGAAUGUCACAUCUUUAAUAUAUAACGGAGCUCUGUACAAGAUAGUUAAAUAAUUACAUCAUACGAAGAUAAUGAUCCAGCAACCAAAGUUGACUGGAAGACGACGGCCUAGACCUCUCACGAUCUUAUCACAACAUUCUUCAUGCGCCUCAUCCAGUAGCACCUGUUCUUGACCUGGGGGAUGUAAGUACAGCAAGUGUGAGCUCACAUACGUUCAUCGCUCAACAAGUUGUAGGAAAUAAUAUGCAUGAACUCACCAAAGUUGGGAGCUCAUGUGAAGUGUAAGGCUUACCAAAGGAGAUGGUUAAAGCUGAGCAUUGCUUUUAGAGUUGGUCAAAGUUUUAUUAGCAGUUACUAGGUAUAAGUAGAUACCAACCCAAUUAAGUAAGAGAUCAAGAUUAAUAACAACACCCACAAUGCAAUGCACAUGAUAAAUUGAGUUUAAUUCCAUAAGUUAAUUAUGUGAGUGUCCGAGCCGCUCAUGACCGUGAGCAUGACUGAUAUACCAGUUUUACACUCUGCAGAGAUUGUGCAUCUUUACCCACAAGUCGUGUUACCCAUUCUCCACGAGGUUGUACGAGCCUCAUACACCUCUACCAAGGAAGAGAAGCAUGAUAGAACUACGAGGCCUUUCCAAAGUUCCACUAGUUCGAGAAAACCUGCUACGGAUUUAGAAAGAAGGAAGCAUAGGAAUCCCUCGUUCGAAAAGCUUUACAGACAGUUCGACCUGAGGACCUCCCUAUACUCUAGCAACGACGCCUCUCCGCUUGCCCCUUCCAGGUAAGGUAAUUUCUCCCUAGCUUUCCUAAUUACUUAGCCAAGUGUGUCCCAUUCUACCCUUGUGGUAGCACUAUUUUCCCGGGUGGUUCACCAUGUUCUAAUUAACAAUAUGAUCUUAUCAUGGACAAUAAUUAAACAACAACAUAAUUUGAACAUGAUCAUAAUAAAACAUUAGUUUCCCAAAACCAGAUAGAGCAAUAGAAAAUCUACCCAAUAAUUCAUCUGUUUGCAAGGUGGGGAUAAACAAUGCUAGGGAAACCUAUUAGGUCUCAUCAAAUUAACCUGAGCAUGUCACAGUGAUUAAUAGGAAUAUUAUUAGGUAAAAAGGAGUGAUCAAGGGCACAGCUUGUCUUAGACUCGAGAUUCCGGGUACCAAGAUGGUCUUCAGAUUCCCAGGACCUCACUGCUAUUCGUAGCAAUACAAACAAACAUGGUAUAGGAAAAAUUAUCAUCACACCAAACAUAAGCACAAACUGCAUAAUAAUAUUCUACGCGAUGCUACGAGAUUGUUGGUUUGAGAACCACUAAAUUCCGAGUUACAGUUAUAAAGUUAUGAUUUUUCGAAGGUUUAAGUGUUGAAUAUAAAACCAAAUGAGUGUUAUUUUUAUCACUAAGCUACAUAGUAAAAUGAGGUUACUAACUGGUAAACAAUAUUAUUAUGAGUCUAAUGCAACUGAAAUGGGUCAAUUUGGAGUUAAAACAAUGAAGUUAUGACUUUGCUAAGAUUAAGACAUUAUUUUUGCACUAAAUGUGACUUCUGCAUUUAUUUUUAUUGUUUUCCUGGUCGGCUGGGUUGCGGCCAUAAAUAUAAGAAAGCGCAGGGGCUAGAUCACAUGAAACAGGACGUAGAUGUAAUGUUUCUAACACACUUCUAGACAACGGGUUAGUUAUUAGGUUCCUCGGGGUGUCUUUUAUAAAUCCGGCACAGCCGAAGGGGUAUUGGCGAAGAUCAGUCGUUGGAUCCGAAAUAGAUGGCACAUAUUAGAUCAUGUUCUUUUAUGAACUGGUAAGUAUCUAUGGCCACGGGAUCAAGGAUCCACGGGCCGAAAUCACCCACGCCAUGACCCCAUCCGAUCCGCCCGAUUACGAUCUGACUGCCAUGAUUUAAAGUUUCGUGUUCGAAUCUCGCGUGCCAGAUCUGGACUAGACGACCCGGAUUCAACCACACGAAAGGGCAUGCGCCACCCGGAUCCGCACCGUCCAACACGAUUUGAACGGUCAGCGCUACUCUCACCUAAUCUCUACCAUUGCCUGGUGAUCCAACGGUUGAGCCAUCGUCAUCUCCAUACGGAAGCAGCAGCGCAAGUCGCCCAUGCGAACCACGACGGCGCUAGCACCGGCGGGGAUAUGCAUGGUUCCCCCAGCACCAAAACUCCGAGCCACUAGGUAAUUUGUAAUGCGCUAAGUCCCACGAACUCCAAGAGGUAAAACUCACCGUGAAUCGCAGCGUGAUCGAUGUUGGACGUGGCGGAGCGUGAGUUCGGCGGGGGUUCCCAACUCCGGUGAGGAAUUCCUAUGGUUCCAGUUAGCUUCCCACCGAUUACUCCCUCACACAGCUUCUGUGCGGUCUGAUCAACCCUCGGAUGGCCACAUUGGAGCCCGAACCACGCCAAUGAUGGGUAUCCACAGGGGCGGCCCGAACACACGGUGAUGGCGGCUCCCACUCAUAUGUCCUGCCUCUCUCUCUCUUUCUCUUAGCUAGACAAUCGCCAAGGACGCUCAGGCGGGACGAUUUAUGGGGAUGACCAGCGCCAGGGGCAGCACUAAAAUCGACCAUGGUUGUUGGCUGCCGGCCAGUCCGAUCCGCAUGUGAGCUCCGCGCCUGAUAGAG
rnacentral:lncRNA from 1 species